UAUUGGUCAAUAGCCUAACGGCUGAACCAGCAACUUGGAGGAAUGAAGAGUUACUGUAAAAAGUAAUUUUCUAUAUAAUAAAUUAAUAUAGAGUUAACGUAGUUAAGUAAAAUUCCAAGUAGAAAUUGAUUAUGACAGUUUCUAUGAGUAUGUCUUGACCAAUUCAUGUGCCAGCAGUCGCGGUAACACAUGUAAGACUGGUGUUAUUCAUCUUUAAUCGGUUUAAAGGGUACCUAGACAGUUAAUUAAGCCUUAAAAGGGUACUAAUAAACUAGAGUUUAAUGUAAGAAGAAGAGUACGGUGAGUGUAGAGAUAAAAUUCUGUGAUACCACUUAGAAACUGGCAAAAGCGAAGGCACUUCUAUGUAAAACUGACGUUGAGGGACGAAGGCUGUAAAAUAAUAGGAUUAGAUACCCUAGUAUUGUGAGCAGACAAUGAUGAAUGUCAUAUGCAAGAAUUUAUUUUUUGUGUAUAAAUGAAAGUGUAAGCAUUCCACCUCAAGAGUAAUAUGGCAACAUAUAAACUGAAAUCAUUAGACCGUUUCUGAAACUCGUAGUGAAGUAUGUUGUUUAAUUUGAUGAUCCACAAAGAACCUUACCACAAUUUGAAUAUUUAUAUUUAAGAUUUAUUCUAUAUUUAUACAAGCGUUGCACGGCUGUCUUCAGUUAAUGUCGUGAGACUUUGGUUAGAUCCAUUAAAUUAACGUAUAACCCUUACUUUAUUUAAAAUAAAAUAGUUCGCCGCUAUAUUGGUAGUGAUAUAAGGGACCAAGACAAGUCAUCAUGGCCUAUAUAUUGUGGGCUAUAGAC
rnacentral:rRNA from 1 species